rnacentral:rRNA from 1 species
GGUUACGUCCAUACCAGUCUGAAAGUGCCUGAUCUCGUCAGAAGUCAUGCAGACUUGGGCCUGCUUAGUACUUGUAUGGGAGACCAACUAGUAACCUCAGGUACCGUAGGCU